AACGUAGGAGGCAAGCGUUAUCCGGAUUUACUGGGCGUAAAGCGCGUUCAGGCGGUUCGGCAAGUCGGGCAUGAAAUCUCUCGGCUCAACCGGGAGAGGUUGUCCGAUACUGUUGGACUUGAGGGCAGUAGAGGGUGGUGGAAUUCCGGGUGUAGUGGUGAAAUGCGUAGAUAUCCGGAGGAACACCAGUGGCGAAAGCGGCCACCUGGACUGUACCUGACGCUCAAACGCGAAAGCUAGGGGAGCGAACGGG
rnacentral:rRNA from 1 species